UCGUCGCGUAAUAGGCGCGUCCCGGCUGGCGCGACGGCGAGGGCGAGUCGAAUCGACUCGUUCGAAUCGUUCGAUCACGCCUUGCCGCCCGUCUGCGCGGCAACCUCCGCGGCGAAGUCCUCGACCCGCUUCUCCAAACCCUCGCCGAGGUUGUACUUCGUAAACCUCCGGAUGGAAAUCUUCUCGCCAAUCUCCGCGGUCGCCUCCUUGAUGAGCUCGUCCACGGUCUUGCUCGUGUCCUUGAUGAACGGCUGCGUCAGCAGCGCCUUCUCGUUCACCAUCUUAUCCAGUCGGCCCUGGACGAUCUUCUCGCGGAUGUUCUCCGGCUUGGACUGCAGGUCCUCCAUCUUCAUCUGCACCUCGCGCUCCUUCUCGAUCAUCGCCUGGUCCGCGUCGGACGGGGAGACGUACUCGAUCUCCGUGCAAGCCGCCACCUGCAUCGCGAUGUCGUUGGCGAGCUCCUUAAACUUGUCGCCGCGCGCGACGAAAUCCGUCUCGCAGUUGACCUCGACGAGGACGCCGAGGCGCGCGCCGGCGUGAAUGUACUGCACGACCGCGCCCUCCGCGGCGAUGCGCGACGCCUUCUUGUCCGCGCCCGCGAUGCCCUUCUUGCGGAGCCACACGAUCGCCUCUUCGACGUCGCCGUCGCACUCCCCGAGCGCCUUCUUGCAGUCCAUCAUGCCCGCGCCGGAUUUGUCGCGGAGCUCCUUGACCUGCUUGGCCGAGAUGUUCGCGGUGGUCUUCGCGGGGGCGGCGGCUUCCUCCUUCUUCGGCUCCUCCUUCUUCGGCUCCUCCUUGGGCUUCUUGUCCGCGAGCGCCUUGGUCUGCGCCUCAACCUCCGCGGCGAAGUCCUCGUUGCGCUUCUCCAUGCCCUCGCCGAGGUUGUACUUCACGAAACGACGGAUGGAAAUCUUCUCGCCAAUCUCCGCCGUCGCUGCCUUGAUGUACUCCUCAACCGUCACGCCGGUGUCCUUGAUGAACGGCUGUUUCAGCAGCGCCUUCUCGUUCACCAUCUUAUCCAGUCGGCCUUGGACGAUCUUCUCGCGGAUGUUCUCCGGCUUGGAGAGCAUAUCCUCCAUCUUCAUCUGCACCUCGCGUUCCUUCUCGAUCGCCGC
rnacentral:lncRNA from 1 species